CUGGAAACGGUCGCUAAUACCGCAUAAUGUCUUUUAGUAGGGAUACUGGAAGAAGAAAACUCUGGUGCUUCAGGAGGGGUCUGCGUCCGAUUAGCUAGUUGGUGAGGUAAAGGCUCACCAAGGCGACGAUCGGUAGCUGGUCUGAGAGGACGAUCAGCCACACGGGAACUGAGACACGGUCCCGACUCCUACGGGGGGCAGCAGUGAGGAAUAUUGCCCAAUGGGGGAAACCCUGAGGCAGCAACGCCGCGUGGAGGAAGAAGGUCUUUACGAUCGUAAACUUCUUUUGUGAGGGAAGAGGAAGGACGGUACCUCAUGAAUAAGUCACGGCUAACUACGUGCCAGCAGCCGCGGUAAUACGUAGGUGACGAGCGUUAUCCGGAAUUACUGGGCGUAAAGCGUACGCAGGCGGCAUGGUAAGUCUGACGUGAAAUCUCCUGGCUUAACUGGGAGAGGUCGUUGGAGACUGCUGUGCUUGAGACAAUGAGAGG
rnacentral:rRNA from 1 species